rnacentral:lncRNA from 1 species
CGAAGUUAAAGCUUAAAUAUUAUUCGAUAAGCGGAACUUACAAAAUCGGCCGGAGAUCGUGUUGAUGCAGUCCUGCCAACCCGUACGAACUCGUGAAAGAAAAGACGUAUUGGCGAAGUCGCCGACUUGAAAGUAAAGUACGAUAAAAAGUAAGUUGUUUGUAUUGAUUGAUGUGUUGUUUUACAAAUCUCUAAAGAUGACUAUUUAUAGCCUGUUACAACUAAUUUCCUAACUGACUAGGAUCUAUCUCUAAUUUUAAAUGAAAACAAAUAUUUACAAACACGACUCGUAUCGGAGUUUGUUAUCAUACCCCCACGGGCCAAUCUCUCUUUAUCUCCUUUUCUAGCCCACCUUAAGCCCAUGUUGGCCCAGCUGCCCCAACCUUCCAAUUGGCCGACCUUUAUCAACUUCAUUCGCCAAUCAGCCGAUACACUGUAGCACCAAUCGGCCGAUUCCCAACUGCAGCUUUUAAUCCGCCGCAUCGGCCAAUCUUUUCCUUCUCUGACGCCGAUCCAAAAUACGUGUCAAAAUCUGGCAUCAACAAUAACAUAAUAAUGUUUCAUUCUUUAUGGCCAUAGGUAUACAUAACAUUCACCUACAAUAUCUCUAUAAUAAUGUUUGUUUCCUCUAUUAAUUUCUGAAUUUUUUAGUACGUAUUAGAGCAACAAUAUGUGCAAGCAAAUGAGCACCAAUAAUAAACAAACACAUGUAUUGUGAGGCCAUGCUUGGAAUGGCAUGGCACGAAGAUGUGCUGGCGUGCCACGAGCUGUGCUUGGGUUUAGCAAAAGACUUGUCAUGCCAUGCCGGCAUGGCACGACGUGCCUAGCGUGCCUACAAGUCUAGGCACGAUACGACAUGAGGCAUGAGAGGGCAGGGCCGGCACGGCAUGGCCCAAGUCCUUGACGCCAAGCCCCUUGGUUGCCGUUCACCCUUGUAUGGUCCAUCGUAGCCAAGUUUUACUUUGCUCUUCACCAUUAUGCCAUACUAAGCCACUUUGUACUACGUAUCUUCGAUUAAUCAUUUGGAUCUUUCCAUUGAACACCAUUUCAUAGUUGAUCAUAAACUCAUCAUGCUCAUACUUUUGAUCUCCAUCAAUUCUUCAAUUCAAAUUGUUCAUAUUUCUUCAAAGCUUUUCAACAAUUGUCCAUCAAAACAUUGUCUUGUUGUCAUUAAUCACAACCUCAACUUGUUGAUCCUCAACCAAUGAGAUAUCAACCCUUAUCUUGAUACCGGAACUCAACCUAGCAUAUCAACUCAUGGAAUUAGUUAGUCUGAGCAUCCGGUUAUCAUUAAUCACUAAAACUCACCACAGCACAAUGCUUAGGGAGCCUAGAUCGUCCUUCACUUUGGAGCAGGAUUAUAUACAUAACAAAAUGAAAAUGGAAAUAGCAAGUGUUACUAGAUCUCCUAAGAAAGGAAUCAAUGACCCUAUAGCCAGGAGAGGGAAGGAUGAAUUAGGACCGCUUAAAAAUGUAGCCAGUGGCUUCUACUACUUUGAAUAAUAUAAACUAGAAUGUGCUAUAUAAAUAUGCAACUAUGGUUUACCUAAUGUGUUUACAUCCACCCAAUGGAGAUUUGCAACAUAGAGACAAUCUUAGCAAGAACUACUUGAAUGUAAAAGGCACACAAAAUUGUAAGUAAGAAAUGCAUGCAGUCGUGUAAGGAUGAAUAAAGGGAUGCAAACUAUCAGCAUGAUGAUUUCUCCUAUGGUAUUGGUAAGCAAAUGACAUGCCACAUCCAUGUUGUAGCUCCAAGGAUAUGCUUUAGUUCACCGAGUCUUUCCGUUCAAGAUCUUGGGCUUGCCACUAAGGCGCCCGCCAAUCUGGAUGAGCUACUUGCCACAAAGGCAAGUAUCACAACACCCUCACUUUUGAUCAUGAUGAUAUCGUCUUCAAUGUGAACUGUGUUCAAAAAUGAAGGGUUCACCUCAUCCCCCAACACAAGUUUCGAUCACCGCCUCUAUACACCAAGUUGGAGGGUCUACGAGUUUGCCGGCGAGAGAAUAAGGCUCCAAGGUGUUGGCGCACGAAGCUUACAAUUGUCGUUCACUCCUUAAACUAAGCACAAGGUAGCAACACUUCAAUUACUCACUCUAGUCCAAAUCUAGCACUGAUCAAAUGCUAAUUACCGUAGAUGACCAACAUGAGCACUUUAGUAGCAUGGAUAUGAUCUCAAUGUUUCUGGGAGGUCUUCAAGUCUUCAACACACUAUGAUGAAGUGAGUGGGGAAUGGCAUUUAUAAGUGGAACCAUUCAACACUAGAAGAUUCGACAUGAUCACUUUGCAUUCAUCGAACCAUUCAAUGUCCAUAGCUUUUGAGUGCAACCAUUAGAACCCCCACAAAUCAAAGCUCCAACACAAUCAUCCAAGACCCAUUGGAUCUCCUAGUUUAUCUAAACCUUAAACUUCCUAGGCUAACACUUCACCGGAUUUGUUGAUUAGUGAAGAUUUAAAGUGUGUCUACAUCACAAAUAGUAAUUUGUAACAACAUGGUGAUGAAUAUCUUUUGUCAUCAAUUGAGCGUCAUAAGCCAUGGUUAGUGACAAUCCUUAUCUUAGUUCAUCACUAAAUCUAUGACACCUACAAAACAUCACCAAAAAUGUCAUAAACUGGCUCUAACAAUUUUGCCAAGUUUGACAAGAAUCUGAAGUAGCAUCAUUUGUGGCAUGACAAUAUUGAUGAAUUGUUUCAUCAUAACUUAACUUAAGCCCAAUUCUUCUUGGACGGUCUCAUAUUUCCUUCUACGUAACUUGUUAUAGGCACAAUUCUUAUUAGAAAAAGCCUAAUAAUUUCUUUUGCCAUAACUUAUUGUAGGCUCAAUUCUUGUUGGGCUGAGCCCAAUGUCACACCCGUAAAUAUUUAAUUUCAGGAUGUGAGUAAAUAACGCUAAUUAACACAAUGAUUUUCUCAUAGUUCUAAAUUUUUUCCAACAUUUAUAUUAUUUACCAAAAUAUUUAGUGUAGGGAAAUAAUUAAUUUCUAAAACUAAAUUAAUAUGCUUUAGGAUAUAGUAAAGAGUCUUGCAUUCAUGCCGAAUUGCAUCUUUUAAAACUCAUUCAGAUGCCGAUUAAGCUUUUUCCAUGAAUUUUCUAGAUUUUUCUAACAAUUAUUGUCAUUUUCCUAGAGCUAUACCCAUUUAUUGGAUGCUUCUAGAAACUUUUUCAUGAGGUCCCAAUAUUUUAUUUGGACUCCUCCUAUCCCAAAUUAUUGCUGGGAUUUUCUCAGAAUUUUUAUAUGGGAAGUCAUUAUGCUCAUGAGGAUUGAAACACAAGCCUUGAAGCCUUUUUAGGCCAACUGUAGAUAAGUUAUAAGCUAAUUUAUUUCAGAAAACUCCAUUAUAUUUUCUUAGAGUAAUUGUACUCAAAAUUUGGAAGAAGAUAUGAAAAUAUGCUCAAUCUUAAAAUUUCUUCUAAAAGGUUGCUUCAUUGUAUAUUUGUCACAUAGCCAUGGUAACGACUUAACUAUGUUUAUAUUUCAUCAACUAUUUUCCUUAUACCUUAACCUUAUUUCGUUGCAAUUAUUUUCUGUACUAUUGUCUGACAAGCUCAUCAUGUGAAUGAAAAAUAAAAAUAUACACCCUCUAAUUGUUAAUCCAUUGAAAUCGGCAUUACUGAUUUUUUCUAGUGAAGGAUGUAGCACACUCGUUACAGUUUGGGAAUUGUGAUGGCCUAUAGAUUCUGUCAUGGCCUUGCCUUACCAUCCAAUUCAUGAUACUUGACUAAGUUGCGAAUCACCAUGUGUGAAUCCAUGGUGCCUUUUGCAACCCUUUUUGCCACGUAGCUCACAUGAGGUUGACGAGUCACAUGAUAUUCCGCACCAUGCGUUUGUCAUUGGUGCUUCAACUGCUUCUGACUAGGAGAGGAGAUCUAGGCAUAGUGCCUUUGAUGAGAAUCUAUGCAGUGACUUUGGUCGGAUCUUGAAGAGAGUUUUGCUUGGUUUGUAAUCAUAUAAUCAUGUUGUCUUUAGGACUAUCCAAUGACAGUUGUUUGACAUGACUAAAUAAAGAUGACAGUUGAAAAGUCCUUUGCUUUGUCACUGGAUUAUUCUACUUGUCUUCAAAAAAAAAUGCAAACAUGUACCCGUUGGAUAUUUUAGAUGCAUGUGCGUAUUUGAGGCAUGUGAAAGGUUGUAGAUUCCACCCUACAAUUGUGGCAGGCGAGCUCAUCGGUAUAAUGCCUGCCUUUUUUAGAGCAUCUCAUGUAUUUUCACGGCCAAUCCAGUGUGUUGCGAGGUGUCAUGCAUUAGUCGCGCAUGGUCUUAAUAGGCAGGGCCUUAGCUCAGGUUUCUGCAUCUUGUAUUGUGACUAGUGGUGGUAGGUAAGCACAUUGGUUCUACAUCUUGUGUAGCAUGGUGGUAGGCAAGCUCAUCAGUUUUCGUGCCAUAUCGUAGGUGAGCUCAUCAUUUCUGCAUCUUGUUUACAAUAUGAUCUUUGUCGUCGUCAGUGUAAUCUUGUGGGUUUUUGUUGGUUUGUAUAGGAGGAUGGCCACACACGGGAACGAAGCAAGCAAACAAGAAGUACAAAUUUGUAUUGAUAGCGAAGGUCUCGGUUGGAGGGGGGGUGGGGGGGGGGGGGUGCCUUGUUAUUUUCCAGGAAUGACAUCUCCCUGAGUUUAAAAACUAUCAAAAUCUCCCAUCGGUGUGUAUGUAAAUGGUGGCACAGGAGAUGGAGAUUUACUGUCUUAAGCAACCAGUAAAUCCAAAAAGUUCCAACAAUAUUCAUAGUAUCAAAUUCAAUGUUACCUUUUAUAGUACUAGGUGGCCAAUCAGGUCUUACUACACUCGCUAGGUCGUACUAUUUAUUCUUUUCCUCUUAAUGAAAAACGUGCUAAGGCACGGUUGCUAAAAAACAAAUCUACAAGGGAGAGGAAUAUGAACAGCAUUCAUAGUGCUGUACAAAAGAGCUUAAAGCAAGAAUGACUGUACUCUUUCCUCCAGUUGACUCAAAAUCACAUCAGCACAAACCAAGUAGUAUCAACAGAGUUGUUUUAAAACAAAACUGAUCAGAUCACUAGGUCGUACAAUAAAAUAAAUCAGCAUAAUAGAACUCCGAUAAAUUCUCCCCCCAUGAUAGUAAAAAUCAAAGGUGCACGAACAUGGAUCAUAUAUAACAAAAUUCUAGUACUGCUAGCUGAAUCAAGAUGAGACGAUGUACCUCUAGGCUCUAGCAGAGGUCUGGUCCGACUCGAAAAAGAUCCAGAGCUGGGGAGGGUAUGGAAGCGGGUUUCCGUCCAAUGCGAGGAUGGCCCGCCUCAAGUUCUUGGCCUCGGCGAGCAGGGUGAUGAGGUUUCGGUUGUGGCAGCCUGAAAUUGUUGAAAUUGCAGGUAAAAUCAGCGCAGAUCGAUCACAACUCACAAGACUCGGGUGACGAGGAACGAGGAAUAAGUAACAAGGCCGGAUCAAAUCUUACGAGCAACUUCGUGGCCGUAGAGCAGCCGCUCCUUGAGCACACUGAAACAUUCCACCAGAUCUUCGUACGAGACGGCGAGGGCCUCGUUAAUCUCCUGCACCGUAAUCGCCGCCUAGAGGGACGGGUAACGUCUAAGCGGAGACAAAUCCGUGGAUCAAACAAAUUAAAGAUCCCAACGACACGGGAAAGAGACAUGUCUCACCAUCGCCGGAGAACCUCUGGAUCGACGGCGCGCCGCGUCUGGUUUCUUCUCCUUGGCGGCGGCGUGCGGGACUGCGGGAGGAGGCGGCGGUUCAAGUAGCGGUGCUGGCUGGUGUGCGUUUGGCAGCAAGAGAGAAAGCUAGGCAGGCGAAGAGUUGGAGCCGGAGGCUGCUGAAACCCGCGAGGAAGGAUCGACGAAUCCGGCCCGAUCUGAUUGUGGUCAUGGGCCGCGAUAUCCCGUCCUAACAAAUAAAUACAAACGGCCCAACCCUCCCAGCCAUCAUCCCCUUCAUAAUUUUGUACCCGCCGCCGCUCGGAACUCUCCGCCUGUCCGCCAGCAUCGAUGAGGAGAAGGCGG